rnacentral:rRNA from 3 species
UGGGGAAUAUUGCACAAUGGAGGGAACUCUGAUGCAGCGACGCCGCGUGAACGAAGAAGGCUUUCGAGUCGUAAAGUUCUUUUAUAUGGGAAGAUAAUGACGGUACCAUAAGAAAAAGCCCCGGCUAACUACGUGCCAACAGCCGCGGUAAUACGUAGGGGGCUAGCGUUGUCCGGAAUCACUGGGCGUAAAGGGUUCGCAGGCGGAAAUGCAAGUCAGGUGUAAAAGGCAGUAGCUUAACUACUGUAAGCAUUUGAAACUGCAUAUCUUGAGAAGAGUAGAGGUAAGUGGAAUUUUUAGUGUAGCGGUGAAAUGCGUAGAUAUUAAAAAGAAUACCGGUGGCGAAGGCGACUUACUGGGCUCAUUCUGACGCUGAGGAACGAAAGCGUGGGUAGCAAACAGG